rnacentral:rRNA from 1 species
AGCGAACGCUGGCGGCAGGCCUAACACAUGCAAGUCGAACGGAUCCUUCGGGAUUAGUGGCGGACGGGUGAGUAACACGUGGGAACGCGCCCUUUGGUUCGGAACAACUCAGGGAAACUUGAGCUAAUACCGGAUGUGCCCUUCGGGGGAAAGAUUUAUCGCCAUUGGAGCGGCCCGCGUCUGAUUAGCUAGUUGGUGGGGUAAAGGCCCACCAAGGCGACGAGCAGUAGCUGGUCUGGGAGGAUGAUCAGCCACAUUGGGACUGAGACACGGCCCAAACUCCUACGGGAGGCAGCAGUGGGGAAUCUUGCGCAAUGGGCGAAAGCCUGACGCAGCCAUGCCGCGUGAAUGAUGAAGGUCUUAGGAUUGUAAAAUUCUUUCACCGGGGACGAUAAUGACGGUACCCGGAGAAGAAGCCCCGGCUAACUUCGUGCCAGCAGCCGCGGUAACAC